rnacentral:rRNA from 1 species
GACGAACGCUGGCGGCGUGCUUAACACACGCAAGUCGAACGAUGCACCCGGAGCUUGCUCCGGUGGAUUAGUGGCGAACGGGUGAGUAACACGUGAGUAACCUGCCCUUGACUCUGGGAUCACAUCGGGAAACUGUAGCUACUACCGGCUACGACCCCCGCCGGCCUCGCCCGGGGGUGGAAAGAAUUCCGGUCAAGGAUGGCCUCGCGGCCGAGCAGCUAGUUGGGGAGGUAACGGCUCACCAAGGGGACGACGGGUAGCCGGCCUGAGCGGGUGGCCGGCCACACGGGGACUGAGGCACGGCGCAGGCUGCUACGGGGGGGAGCAGUGGGGAAUAUUGCACAAUGGGCGCAAGCCUGAUGCAGCAACGCCGCGUGAGGGAUGACGGCCUUCGGGUUGUAAACCGCUUUUAGUAGGGAAGAAGCGAAAGUGACGGUACCUGCAGAAAAAGCACCGGCUAACUACGUGCCAGCCGCCGCCGUAA